CUGCGAAUACCGGAGAAUGUUAUCACGGGAGACACACGGCGGGUGCUAACGUCCGUCGUGAAGAGGGAAACAACCCAGACCGCCAGCUAAGGUCCCAAAGUCAUGGUUAAGUGGGAAACGAUGUGGGAAGGCCCAGACAGCCAGGAUGUUGGCUUAGAAGCAGCCAUCAUUUAAAGAAAGCGUAAUAGCUCACUGGUCGAGUCGGCCUGCGCGGAAGAUGUAACGGGGCUAAACCAUGCAC
rnacentral:rRNA from 1 species